AAGGAUCAUUAAUGAGCGAGGGUCCUCCGGGGCCCGACCUCCCACCCUUUGAUGUUGAACAAACCUGUUGCUUUGGCGGGACGGUCUCCGGACCGCCGGUCUUCACGGAUCGGUCAGCGCCCGCCAGAGGACCAACCAAACACUAUUUUAAUCGUCAGUCGGAGUAAACAUUUUAAUAAAUUAAAACUUUCAACAACGGAUCUCUUGGUUCUGGCAUCGAUGAAGAACGCAGCGAAAUGCGAUAAGUAAUGUGAAUUGCAGAAUUCAGUGAAUCAUCGAAUCUUUGAACGCACAUUGCGCUCCCUGGUAUUCCGGGGAGCAUGCCUGUUCGAGCGUCAUUAUCAACCAUCAAGCACUGCUUGGCAUUGGACGCCGUCCCCCGUGGACGCGUCUUAAACCCUUUGGCGGCGGUUACAUACCUCAAGCGUAGUAGAAAUUCUUAGCUUUCUAGGUUGUGGCUGCUUUGCCUCGAGAACAUCUCACCUCAAGGUUGACCUCGGAUCAGGUAGGGAUACCCGCUGAACUUAA
rnacentral:rRNA from 1 species